GGAACAUCAUUUAAAGGGUUAGUUCACCUGAAAAUGAAAUUUCUGUCAUUAAUUACUCAUCCUCGUGUCGUUCCACAUCCGUAAGUCCUUCGUUCAUCUUCGGAACACAAAUUAAGAUAUUUUUGAUGAAAUCCGAGAGGUUUUUUUUAUCCCCCAUAGAAAGCAACAUAAUUACCACAUUCAAGGUCCAGAAAAGUAGUAAAGACAUCGUUAAAAUAGUCAACGUGACUACAGUGGUUCAACCUUAAUGUUAUGAAGUGAGAAUACUUUUGUUAGAAGCGCUGCACUGUCCAUACACCGUAAACAGCGUAGGAAUCUGACAGGGAAUUGUUGCAUAAAGUCGCUAUUUUUGUUUUGUUUUUGCAUACAAAAAGUAUUCUUGUCAAUUCAUGGGAUUUAUCACAUUAUUAUUAUCAUAGCCAUAGAUUUGUUUCUUUCAGGUUUAUAUAUCUAAAAAUAUUAUACUGGUGUGCAGGUUUUGAAAUUAACACCCGCCAACCCGUGGGUAACGCUGUCAAAUCACUAGCCAAUUUGGCGGGUUACUUAUUAUGUUUACUCACUUUGCUGGGGAAGUUCGUGUAAGCCAAAUCUGAACAAAUACUCAACUUGAGUCAUCAUGAUAUUUUAAAUACAGCGCACUUCACAGAAUCUGCCUUACUUGAACAUACAGGUCACUAGGCAACAAAUAAUGACGCGCUUGUUCAUUUGCAUUGAAGCGAAGAUUAAAAAGAAGCAUAAUAAUGGGUCGAUACAUUUGGUUAACAGAAAAGACAUUAUUAUUUUACAGUAUCGUACAACUUCAGCAGACCCUGGCUUAUCCUGAAACCGCGGGUUUGUUUUUUUCCGCGUGGUGUUUGGUGUUCUUUGUAGGGGAGAGCAGGGGCGAAAGUACAAAUUUUCAGAAAAGCUUAAUUUUAAAAGGUAAUGUUUUUGACAGAGAUAUAUUUUUGCUGUGGUCAAUAACUAAACAAAUGUAGAACGGCUUCAGCAUAAUUUCACUUUGAACAUAAGUUGAACAUUGUUAUUUACGAACCCUUCAGUUGGGACGAAAGUAACACAGGUGGGUCAAAAGUAACAAUACAAGCUAGAUUUUUUGUGUUACGCUUGUUUUUAUUAAAUAUACCUGAUUAUGACUUUGUUACUAUGUAACUGCAAACAUGUUUUUUCCUUUAUCUUUGAAAAAACAUGUACAUUUUACUGUAUUGAUCUGUCCACCUAAAAAAAAAAAAUUAGUGAUGAGGAUUAGGCAUGUGACGGUAUCAAAUUUUCAUGUUGCGAUUAAUUGCUGAAACUUUUGUCACGGUAUACGGUAUUGAAAUAAGUUGCAAAAAAAGUGUUGUCAUAGUAUAACAGGUUUAGGAACUCUUUUUGUAAUAACAUAACUCUGAAUCUUUUAAUACAAUAAUACAACACACAAAAAAUAUAUAAAGUACAAUUUUCAAACAGAUUCAAGUGCAAAAGAAUUAGGCUAUAAAGAACAACAGGUAACACUUUACAAUAAGGUUAAUGCAUUAACUAAGAUUUUGCAAUAGCUACAUUUGUUACAGAAAGUAUUAUUUUUUGUUAUAGUUAGUUAAGAAAUACAAAUGAUCAUUGUUAGUUUUAUCUCAGGUCCAUUAAAUAAGUUCUUUUGAUUUUAGUAAUGUUAUUAAACAGUAACUAAGAAAUUAACAUUAACUAAGAAUAAUUAAUGCUUUACAAGUAUUUUUCAUUGUCAGUUUGGUAAUAAUGAAUUAACAUGUUAACUAAUGAAGCCGUAUGUCUCAAAGUUUUACUGAACAAUAACAAAUAAUCAGAACAUUUCUAAUCAUUAGGGCAUGUUAUAGUCCACAUUAAAAUAUAAAAAUGUUUAAGUUUGAAAAUAAAUAGCCUAUUAAGUCUUUAAGUAUUAAGUAUUUGAUGCUGUGAUGAACAACAUUGAGAUUACAAAAAAAUGAAUGGCUGUUUGAAGCAUUUUAAAAACUUCACUAGCGCAGUUGCUUUGUUUGCGGGGUUUCCGGGGUAACCGCUGCAUUCUGCUGUUUCAGAGAGUGAACGUGCACUUUCAUUCAGCGCGUCUCCUUCACUCGUUCCACCGUGUGCUUCUCGUGCACGUUGGGCUUGUUUACAUCUGAGCGCGUGUUCUUUUGACGCAGAAUACAGCGGUGUUGUGCAUUUUAAGGGAAAGUAUUCUUAAAUGCAUUAUAAAAAUGUUAUUAAUUGGUAAUAAUGUAUUAUUUACGGUAUUUUGAAGUGCCCACGAUAACAAUAUCGUGCAUAGGCCUAUUCAUUAUCGUGAUAUAUCGCAGAUCGGCACAUGUCUAAUGAAGAUGAAAGAGUAAGAGAGGAGAUGGCUGGAUGACAGAAUUUUGUUUGAAUAAGAAAUGAAUGUAUGUUUUUUUUUUUUUUUUUUUUUGGCUAGUAGAAAUUCCGAAUGGUCGGUAACUUAAAAAUUUAGUAGCCAAAUUGGCCGGUGAGUGAAAAAGUCAAUUUCAAACCCUGCUGGUGUGUAGAAAAAAGAAUAAUAGAAUAAAAAGCUAUUAGAAACAUAAAUGUUUUCCAUUGGGUAUACGUGAAAAUGUGUAGCUGCUUUUUAUACUUUAGCGAGGGGUUCCUCCCUUCAUAAUUACUUGGGGGUUUGUGGCAUCUAAAAGUUUGAAAACCCCUGAUUUAGAGCAUUAGGUAGCAAAAUAGCAUUACUUACAUGAAGCAAGCGAACAGUUGAAUCCACUAUCAUUUACUGUUUGCUUGAUAGACUAAUAAUGUGGCAAUCAUUAAGCAUAAAAAUACAAAUAUUGGAAAAAACAGUCCAUUUUAAAAUUCAAUUGAACUAUUUUUAUUGAUACUUUCAGUACUGAAUGACACCGUUCAAAAGUUUGGGGUGGAGGCGAUUUUAUUUUUAUUUUAUUUAUUUUAAAGAGUCUCUUCUGCUCACCAAGGCUGCAUUUAUUUGCAAAAAAAUACAGUAUAAAAGCAGGUAAUGUUAUGAAAUAUUAUUACAAUUUAAAAUAACUGUUUUCUGUUUGAAUAUAUUUUAAAAUAUAAUUUAUUUCUGUGAUCAAAGCUGAAUUUUCAGCAUCAUUACUCCAGUCUUCAGUGUCACAUGAUCCUUCAGAAAUCAUUCUAAUAUGCUGAUUUUCUGCUCAAGAAACAAUUUUUAUUAUCAUCAAUGUUGAAAACAGUUUUUGCUGCUUAAUAUUUUUGUGGAAACUUUGAUGCAAUUAAUAUUAAUAGAAAGUUCAAAAGAACAAUUUGAAAUUUGAAAUAUAAAUCUUUAUUGUCACUUUUGAUCACUUUUAAUGCAUCCUUGCUAAAUAAAAGUAUUAAUUUCUUUCAAACUCUGCAAAGAAUGUGAGAUGAGAUAGAAGGCAACAUAGAUUUGCUUUUGAAAGAAAGUGCUUGAAGCAUUUUCUUGAUAAAGUUUUUUUUUUCUUUAUGAAUAUCUGCGAUUGAACCAAGAGACUUUGAAAUCGUCAGUCAUUGCUUUGGAAAGUACCCAAUCAAUUCGAAACCCAAAACGGGAAAAAAGGGAAUUUUAGACACAUUCAGGUUUGGAUAGCAGUAUUUCUAUCAGUGAGAAAAUCUGUGUGUGAUUAAAUGCUCUUGACUGAAUGUGUAUGUUUGUGGUGUGAGUGUGUGUGUGUGUGAGAGAGAAAGAGUGAGUGUACAUGAGUACAAACCCUCUGGACGACAUAUGGAUGUGUGAGCUUUUAAGAUACUGUUGGCAAACCGCAAGCUUCCUUCCACACUACAACCGUUAGGAUCCGCAUGUAUGCGCGUUUGUGGAUGUGGGGGCUGGAGGCAGGAACGAGGCUCGACGCUUAAAAUAGAGAAUAGGAGAAUCUGCUGUUGAGAUCUUGGUGGAUGUGAAUGAGAAUGUAGAAAUCUCCUAAACCGCAGACUGUCUCCAUUCACAAAGAACUGCUCAUGCAGUUAAAGGGGCAUGUCAAAAAAUAAAAGUCGGUUAUCGUUUGCUCACCUUAAUAACACAACAAAUCCAAUGAAUAUUCCAAGCCAUGUGAUAUCUUGGUGAAAAUUGGGUUCAAUUUCAUUCUGUUCCUCGCACAAAGAUAUUGUAUGUCUUCAGAAGACUCGGAAUAUUGUGCACGAGUCUUAUGGACUACUUUUAUGAUACUUUUAUGGUGCUUUGUGUCCACUGUAAACUUUUGUUGUCUGGACUAAAGUAGUAUCAGUAUUAUUUAUUAUAAUACCUCCCAUGUUAUUUCACAGAAAAAAGAAAGUCAUACAGGUUUGGAAUGACAGAAAUUCAGAGCAGUAAAAUUCCCCAAUCUGGAUAUGAACAUUAUGGAAAACAUUUAGCUUGAUGAACACAAAUAUACAAGAAUUUGAUGAACAGCUUUUGAUGGCAUGGAUCAACUUUGUUUUUAGAAUUUAAAAUUUGACAUGUACAAAAAAAGUGUGUUGUUCUGCACAUUGUGCAAGUUUUACUCUUGAAGUGCACUACCGUUCAAAAGUUUGGGGUCAGUAAGAUUUUUUUUUUAUUUAAGAAAGCUACUUUUAUUCAGCAAGAACACAUAACUUUGUUUAAAAGUAACAGUAAAGACAAUUAAAAUGUUACAAAAGAUUUCUAUUUCAAAUAAAUGCUGUUCUUUUCAACAUUUUAUUUCCUGAAAAAUAUGAAGCAGCACAACUGUUUUCAACAUUGAUAAUAAUCAGAAAUUUUUCUUGAGCAGCAAAUCAGCAUAUUAGAAUGAUUUCUGAAGAUCAUGUGACACUGAAGACUGGAGUAAUGAUGCUGAAAAUUCAACUUUGAUCACAGGAAUAAAUUAUAUAUUAAAAUAUAUUUAAAUAGAAUACACUUAUUUUCAAUUGUAAUAAUACUGUAUUUAAAAAAAUCAAAAUGCAGCCUUGGUAAGCAUAGGAGAUUUCUUUCAAAAAACAUAAAAAAAUUCUUACAGAAACUUUUGAACAGUAGUGUAUGGAUGUGUCAGCAAGUGCAUGAUCUAUAAUUUCAAAGCUUGUGAAAAAAGGUUUUACCCCAAAAUAAAGCUUAUUUUUAAGACAAAAUGUAAUGUCUCUUUACUGAAAAGAAAAGAAGUAAAUUACAUUCUUUGAAUUGAAAAAUAAUAUUUAUACAUUAUAAUUGCAUUUGUUGUACUGCCUUUUUUAGUUGAACUGACCAGUAACUUCUCGUUAAUGAGUGAAUGUGCACAUUUUUAAAAACGUUUUUGCUGAUUUGAAUAAAACAGAAUUAUAUAUAAUAUCAAUAAAAAACUAAUGAGAAUUACUUUGAGAAUAAUUGGCAUUUAAAAAUUAAAAUAAUGAAAAUUUGGGUUGAAAACUUAUGUAAUUAUCAUGGAUAAACUCACAAAAUACCGUAAAGGAAUAAUUUACACAAAAGUCUUCUUUUGUGUUCUGCAGAAUAAAGAAAAUUGUACAGGUUUGAAACAAGGCCGAGCAAAAAAAUGUUUUUUUUUUUUUUUUUAAUUUGGAGUGGUUUAAAUUGGACAUGUUUUAAUAAAAUUCUUCUAUAGUUCCCCUGAAAAUGCAUGUGUGUUUGUUUUGUGUGUAUGGGCGUGUGUGUGUGUGCGCGUGUUUUGUUGCCGUUAGGUACUUUUAUCCCUCCCUGCAGCAGCCGGGCAGCAGUGGGUGUUGUGGCAGGAUGUGGUACAAGAGUGGCACAGAGAAAGAGAGAGAGAGAGAGAGAGACAGAGGCACAGCACCAGUCUGAUACUCUACCUAGGAAAUCAAGUACACAGAAACACGUCUCACGUUGAAAGAGGCUGCUAAUAUGAAAGACACAGACCUGUUCAUGGAGAAAUGUGGCCACGGACGAUGUCCUUCCAAGGUUUUCCAGGCAGCCGAUGGAAAAAAAGGAGUGGGAAUUUCUUCUUUCACCCCUCCUCCUGCGUUCCUCAGCUAGAACAGACCAGCUGAGAGGCUGUAAAUUGAAAUGUUUUUCCCCUCUGGAUCCCUGCGUUCACCACAUUUCGUCCUACCGUACAAAAUCACAUCUCAUUUCUUCCUUUUCAGCUGUUUUCUGUUUUUCUUUCAUAUCAUUCUAUUCAAAGACAAGACAAGAAGAGCUACAAGGAUGCUACAAACCCAAGCUAUGUGAUCCAGCAACGUCCCUCCUCCAUUCCUGUUUUGCUAUUGGUUGGCUGUGGGGCAGCUGAAGGCUGUGAUUGGCUCAGCUGGCUGUCUGUCUAGCUUAGCAGGAAUGAGGACAGGAUUUAAUGGUUGGACACAGAUGCUGUGAAUGUGUCCAGGGAAGAGAGUUCAGGGAUGUUAACCCCUUGCUGCCUCACAUGUGCAUUAUGUGAACUCAAAUCAGACGUGAUACGGGUGAUGGUUAGGGUCAAACACUUUUGUAGAAAGCAUUUUUGUAGUUAAUUUUAGUUGUUUAGUCUUUAUUAAUGAAUGUGUCAAGAACAUGUCUGGGUCAAUUCAUUUUUCACCCUAAAUGCACAAGAAUCCUCCCAAUUCACGAAUUAUCAUAUUACAUUGUAACAUAUGUUAUGUGUGUGUGUGUGUGUGUGUGUGUUUAUUAGAAUAAUUUGGUUUUAUUAAUUUAUUAAUUUACAUUUUUAACAAUUUUCUCAGAACUUUUUCACAAAUACAUGUGUACAUAUAUUAAUUUAUUUAUCAUUAGCCUACUAUUUUUUGGGUGAAUCUCAAGAAGAAAUGUUCAGAUCAUAUUUCAUGUCGAAUGAAUAUAAAUAUACACACACACAUACAAUAAACUAUAUAAUGCUGUCAUGAAAAUAAUCUUACAAUGCAAAAAUCUUAAUGGUCCUGACAUAAUUUUCUUUAUUCAAACUACUGUAUCUAAAUAAUUUCAUUUUAGAUUAAAUAUGAUCUGAACAUUUCUUCUUGAGAUACACCUAAAAAUAGUAGGCGAAUGAUAUAAAAAUGAAUAAUUAUACACACAUGCAUCUGUGAAAAAAUUCAGAGAAAAUUGUAAAAAGAAAAAAAAAGGUUUUUACCUCCUUAUCAAAGCAUUCUCCUUCUUGAUAUUUUAGCCUCUUUCAUGGACAGAGCCAUAACCCCAUAAACUUUCACAUUUAAGGGUGCAUUUACCUGUCAAAACACAUUUUAUUAUUAACAUUAAUAUAUUAUUAAACUGCAUUUUAUCCAACAUAUGUGUUGUACUCUGCUAGCCGCUGAAUGUGGGACAACUAAUCCUUGAUUAAACUGAAUUGUUGACUAAAAUUAAUCCAAAAGAUGGAUGGAUGGAUUAGGAAUGAUGUCAUUCUAAAAAUGGGCUCAAGACCACAGCACAUCCGUUUUGUAACAAUUAUUAAAAUGCCACUGUCUUGUGUUCACUAGUACACAAUCUGCAGAUGGCGUCGUCCAUAUGCCAUUGAAAAUAUAUUUCUGUCAAACGCUGCCUCCUAGUGGUGACAAUGCGUUAGUCCUUAUCCACUCUAAUCCUCUUAUUUGUCUGUUUAUGAAACACAAGCCAAACUGCUCUCAAAUUAACUGUCUAACAUGCUAAGAGGAGUAAAUAUAAUCCUUAGUUACAAGAUAAUAAAUGUAAGCAACACUCAGUGUA